GGGUUGGGCUCAGCGGUAGAGCACUCGCCUAGCACAUGUGAGGCCCUGGGUUCGACCCUCAGCAGCACA
rnacentral:tRNA from 1 species